rnacentral:rRNA from 1 species
AUUCCCAUUGAUCCUGUGGGAGGUCGCUGCUAUUGGGAUUCGAAUUAGCCAUGCAAGUCAGGGUAUUCGUAAGAGUAACCGGCAUAAGGCUCAGUAACACGUCGAUAAUUUGCCCUUAGGUCUGGAAUAGCCUCGAGAAAUUGAGGGUAACACCAGAUAGAAGAAGGAUACUGGAAUGUUCCAUCUUUUAAAGGCAACGCCUAAGGAUAAGUCGGCGACUGAUUAGGUUGUUGGUGAGGUAACGGCUCACCAAGCCUUGGAUCAGUAGGGGGGAUGAAAGUCCUAGCCCCGAGAAGGGCACUGAGAUACUGGCCCUAGCCCUAAGGGGUGCAGCAGGCGCGAAAACUUUACAAUGCACGAAAGUGUGAUAAGGGAAUGGCGAUCACGUUUAUUGGGUCUAAAGCGUUCGUAGCCGGUUUAGUAAGUUCUUUGUGAAAUUGUUGGGCUUAACUUAACAACGUGCAAAGAAUACUGCUAAACUAGAGACUGGGAGGGGACAAUGGUAUUCCAGGGGGAGCGGUAAAAUGUUAGAAUCCUUGGAGGACCACCAGUGGCGUAGGCGAUUGUCUAGAACAGGUCUGACGGUGAGGAACGAAGGCUAGGGGAUCAAAACGGAUUAGAUACCCGAGUAGUCCUAGCAGUAAACUCUGUGAGCUGUGUGUUGCAUAACCUUAGAGGUUGUGCAGUGCCUAAGUGAAGACGUUAAGCUCACCACCUGGGAAUUACGAUCGCAAGAUUGAAACUUAAAGGAAUUGGCGGGGGCUCACUACAAGGGGUGAAGAGUGCGGUUCAAUUGGAUUCCACGCCGGAAAUCUCACCAGGGGCGAUGGCAGGAUGAAGGUCAGAUUAAAGGUUUUACCUGACACGCCAAGAGGUGGUGCAUGGCCGACGCCAGCUCGUGCCGUGAGGUGUCACGUUAAGUCGUGCAACGAGCAAGACCCACAUUUACUUUUACCAGCAGGUCUUACGAGACGACUGGGUACAAUGUAAAGACUGCCUUCGUAAGGAGGAGGAAGGUGUGGGCAACGUUAGGUCCGUAUGCCCCGAAUCUCCUGGGCUACACGCGCUCUGCAAUGGUAGAGACAAUAGGAAGCAACUCCGAAAGGAAAAGCAAAUCCAUUAAACUCUAUCUUAGUUUGAAUUGAGGGUUGUAAUUCACCCUCAUGAAACCGGAAUCCCUAGUAAUCGGGUCUCAUUACGGCCCGGUGAAUACUGUCCCUGAGCCUUGCACACACUGCCCGUCAAACCAACCGAGCAGGGCUUAGAUGAGGUGUAGUUCUUUGAUUAUUCCGAAUCUAAGUUCAGUAAGGUGGGUUAAGUCGUCACAAGGUAACCGUAGGGGAACCUGCGGUUGGAUCACCUCCU